AUGAUUCCAGCAAAGGAUGAGCCAAAUGAACUGGCUCCUCCAUCUGUUGAUGGUUUGUGCAGAGCACAUAAAAGAAUAACAGAUGGUUUAGACACUGAAACCACCAGCCUCAGCAAGGUGCUGGUCCUGCAGGGCCAACACAGCUACUUGUGCCAGCUUCCCAAGCUGGCAUCCUUAUCGGCAAGCAAGAAGCAACCAUUAAAUCAAUACAGAAUGCUUCAAUGUGUGCUCUCCGCAUUCUUAGUAAGAUUCAUAUUUACCCCGUAUAGUCUCAGUGUGGCAAUGGCGCAAUGCUUCACCAUAUUGUGA
rnacentral:rRNA from 1 species